AUGUUGUCUUGAGGUCACACUUGUUUCAUAACCGUAUUCCAAAUAAUUUGUAAGGAGAACACCCGCAUGAAGUUGUCCUUCACUAUUCAUUCCUGGCCAACGUUACCUUGCCAGAGAAUUGUGUGUUCAAUCUUGGCACUGAAGUCUCCCAGAUGGAUCAGUUUGUGAUCCAUCUGUGAUGUAGGUUGGGGUUCAUACCUCUGCAGAAUUGGCCCAGACUUGAUUAUGCAUCAAAAUAUACUGUAAAUAGCCACAGAAAGAAGAAAAUCAAUGCUUAGUUGGGCCACUAUUAUUUUACUAAUUUGUAAUGCUUGCAAAAAUAUAAACGCAUUGUCAUAAUGAAAACUUUUAGUAAGUAAAGAUUGAAUAGUGUCAGAUUUGUACAACACACAAAAAACAGGCCCUUUGACACACCAGAUUCAGAUUCACGUUUAUUGUCACAUGCACCAAUUAAGGUACAGUGAUAUUUGAGUUAACAUGCAGCCAAACAAUUAAAAGAAUACAAUAUAAUUAAAAAGAACGAUAGAACAUAAACAUCCACCACAGUGAUUACUGUGAUGAAAGGCAAUAAAGUGCAGCCAGUCUUCCUCCUUUUGUUCACCCGUGUUUGGGGCCUUGACCCUCCGCAGUCACAGCUACGGACGGCCCGAUGUACAGGCCCUCUCGUUGGGAUGAUCGAAGCUCCGACGUCGGGUCGGAUGGAACACACUUCGCGGCUUGGAGUGCCCGAAUCGGCCACUUUCUUACCGGAGACCGCGACUUCUCAAUAGUAUAGGCCGCAGGCAGGCCAGCGGUCGGAGCUCUUCUCCGGAGAUCCCCGGCAAGGGAUCCCUGGCUCUGGGAUGGUAAAGUCCGCUCCACACCUGCUGCUAGAAGCUCCGCAGACCCGCGGCUUCACGAUGUUAAAGUCAGCAGGCCGGCCGUCGGAGCCUUUCUUCUGGCUCUGUGAUGUUAAAGUCCACGCCGUGCCUGCUGCUGAAGCUCUGGGCCAGUCUCUGGGAAAGGCCGCACCAAUCCAAGUUGUUAGGCCGCGAGAGAGGGCGAAAAUGCGACUAGGAGAAAAGUCGUAUCUCUGCCGAGGUGAGUGACUGGAAACGGUUUCCCCCAUUUCCCCCUCCCACCACCCCCACAUAAAAACAUACAGAGAGACAUUAGCACAUACAUUUAGACAUACUAAAAAAACAACAAAAAAGUCGACAUGACUGACAAACUGCUGGGGAGGCUGCUGCGCACGGUGCCACCAGAUGACGAGGUGUCUAUGCUCACCAUUUUGUUCAUCUACAUUAAUCUGAUUUGCUCACAUCUUUCAAUGCUUUGCCUAAAUUAACUACAUAAUUAAUACACAGUAAUUGUAUUUGCUUUCAGCACAUUCUCUGGCAGCAGGUUUCAGACAUCAACUACUUCAUGUAAAACAGAAAAUAAAAAAUGCCCUUUAAACUUCCUUCCUCUCUUAAUCCUAUGCUUGUUUUUGAAAUUCUUUGUGUGGGAAAAAUAUUCUGACUGUCCACCCUAUGACUCUUAUUUUAUGUACCAGUAUUUGAUCGCUAUUUGUGGUAAUACAUUCCAUUCUAUGUCAGCAAUGCAGAUUUUAGGCAGCAGACAGUCUAUAAUGACUGCAGCAAGGCCUUUGAUAAGUUUCUGCAUGGUAGGUUGCUCUUGAAGAUUAGACCGCAUGGGAUUCAGGGAGACGUAGCCAAUUGGAUACAUAAUUGAUUCGAUGGUUAAUAAAAACUGUGAUGGUGGAAGGUUUUUUCGGAUUAUAGAUUGUGACCAGAGGUGAUACUAAAAUAGAUGGUAUCAUGGAAAGUAGAUAUUUCUUAAGCACUACAUUGGAAUCUUGAUUAACUGCAUAAAUGGGCUGGCAGAUGUAGUUUAGCAUAGAACAGUACUGCACAGCAAUACUCUUGAGCCCACAAUGUAUGUGCCAAACAUGAUGCCAAACUGAACUAAUUUCCUCCACCUGCAUGAGAUCCAUAUUCAUGUGACUAUCGUAAAAACUGCUUAGGUGUCACUGUUAUAUCUGCUUCCACCCCUGGUAGAGCAUUCUAGGCACCCACUGCUCUCUUUAUAAAAAUAAAAAAAUAAAAAAAAAUUAAAAAAACCAUCCCUGCACAUAUCCUUCAAUUUUUUUCCAUCUGAUGUUAACGUUAUGCCCUCCAACCUUUGACAUUUCCAGCCAGGGAAACGGGUUUUAACUGUAUAACCAUAUAACAAUUACAGCACGGAAACAGGCCAUCUCGGCCCUACAAGUCCGUGCCGAACAAAUUUUUUUUUUCCCCUUAGUCCCACCUGCCUGCACUCAUACCAUAACCCUCCAUUCCCUUCUCAUCCAUAUGCCUAUCCAAUUUAUUUUUAAAUGAUACCAAUGAACCUGUCUCCACCACUUCCACUGGAAGCUCAUUCCACACCGCUACCACUCUCUGAGUAAAGAAGUAUGUAUGCUUUAUCUAUGCCUCUUAAUUGUUUUUAUAAUUCUAUCAGACCUCCCCUCAACCUCCAAUACUCCAGAGAAAAUCAUGCAAGUUUGUCCCAUCUCCUUUACAGGGAAUAUCCUCUAAUCUAGGCUGUAUUCUGGUAAAGCUCUUCCGAACAGUCUCCAAAGUGUCCACAUCCUUCCAGUAAUGGGGUGACCAAAACUGCUCAUAAUAUUCCAUAUGCGGCCUUUAUAAAGCUGUAAGUUGUCUUUGUAGCUCCUAUAUUCAAUGCCUCGACUAAUAACUCAAAUAAAUGUAAGUGUUGCAUUUUGGGAAAUUAAACAAAAGUACUGUGUUAACAGUGAUCACUGUGAGGGUCCUUGGGGUACGAGUACAUAGUUCCCUGAGAGUGUUUAGGAAGAAACUGCAGAUGCUGGUUUAAACUGAAGAUAGACACAAAAAGCAGGAGUAACUCAGCAGGUCAGGCAUCAUCUCUGGACAAAAGGAAUGAGUAACAUUUUCAGAGAUCCUUCUUCAUACUGAACGUCAAGAGCACAGCAUAGCAAUCUGUGGUGUGAAUUUGGGGAAUGGUCUGGAACAGGAGAUAAAACUUAGCACAAACAUAAUUCAGUUUAAAAAGAUGUACAAAAACACUUUUUUUAAAGGAUAUUGGGAUGAGGAUAGGUGAUUGUGAGUGGGAGAUUUGUUAAACUGAUUGUAUUGGGAAGGGUGAUUAUAGAGUGAUGGGUUGUAUAUAUGACUAAGAUACUGUAUAGUAUAUGAGGGUUUUUUCUUUUUUUUCUUUUUUUCUCUCUCUGUAUGGCUUUGUAAAUAUUUGAUUAGUGUAUAAAUGUAAACAAUUUGGUGUACAUAUAGCUGCUGAUGUACAUAUGGUGUACAUAUAGCUGCUAAAUUUGUAAAAGAUAAUUAUAAGCAGUUGAAUAAGGGGUGGGAAUUAAUAAGCUUUGGCUUCUUCCUGCUCCUUUUCGGAUACAUACUAUUUCAUUUAUUUAUAGAUAUUGUUUAUGACAUUUUAUAAAUAUUCUUGUUUUGUUUUUUGUAUGCUGUUUCACACUUGCUUUUUAUUCUUUUAUUCUGUUCGAAAUAAAGAAUCAAAUAAAUAAAUAAAUAAAAAA